GAUACCCUGGUAGUCCACACUGUAAACGAUGAUAACUAGGUGUGGCCGUUCUGACCCCUUCCGUGCCGCAGCUAACGCAAUAAGUUAUCCACCUGGGGAGUACGACCGCAAGGUUGAAACUCAAAGGAAUUGACGGGGACCCGCACAAGCAGUGGAUUAUGUGGUUUAAUUCGAAGCAACGCGAAGAACCUUACCAGCACUUGACAUCCGACUAACGAAGUAGAGAUACAUUAGGUGCCCUUCGGGGAAAGUCGAGACAGGUGGUGCAUGGUUGUCGUCAGCUCGUGUCGUGAGAUGUUGGGUUAAGUCCCGCAACGAGCGCAACCCCUGCCAUUAGUUGCUACGCAAGAGCACUCUAAUGGGACCGCUACCGACAAGGUGGAGGAAGGUGGGGACGACGUCAAAUCAUCAUGCCCCUUAUGUGCUGGGCUACACACGUAAUACAAUGGCCAUCAACAGAGAGAAGCAAAACCGCGAGGUGGAGCAAAACUUCAAAAAUGGUCUCAGUUCGGACUGUAGGCUGCAACUCGCCUACACGAAGUUGGAAUUGCUAGUAAUCGUGGAUCAGCAUGCCACGGUGAAUACGUUCCCGGGUCUUGUACACACCGCCCGUCACACCAUGGGAGUCGGUAACACCCGAAGUCAGUAGUCUAACCGCAAGGAGGACGCUGCCGA
rnacentral:rRNA from 1 species